rnacentral:rRNA from 1 species
UACAGAGGGGGCUAGCGUUGCUCGGAAUCACUGGGCGUAAAGGGUGCGUAGGCGGGUCUUUAAGUCAGGGGUGAAAUCCUGGAGCUCAACUCCAGAACUGCCUUUGAUACUGAGGAUCUUGAGUUCGGGAGAGGUGAGUGGAACUGCGAGUGUAGAGGUGAAAUUCGUAGAUAUUCGCAAGAACACCAGUGGCGAAGGCGGCUCACUGGCCCGAUACUGACGCUGAGGCACGAAAGCGUGGGGAGCAAACAGG